GGAUUCCCUUAGUAACGGCGA
rnacentral:snRNA from 1 species